rnacentral:rRNA from 1 species
GAUGAACGCUGGCGGCGUGCCUAAUACAUGCAAGUCGAGCGAACAGAUGAGGAGCUUGCUCCUCUGACGUUAGCGGCGGACGGGUGAGUAACACGUGGAUAACCUACCUAUAAGACUGGGAUAACUUCGGGAAACCGGAGCUAAUACCGGAUAAUAUAUUGAACCGCAUGGUUCAAUAGUGAAAGACGGUUUUGCUGUCACUUAUAGAUGGAUCCGCGCCGCAUUAGCUAGUUGGUAAGGUAACGGCUUACCAAGGCAACGAUGCGUAGCCGACCUGAGAGGGUGAUCGGCCACACUGGAACUGAGACACGGUCCAGACUCCUACGGGAGGCAGCAGUAGGGAAUCUUCCGCAAUGGGCGAAAGCUUGACGGAGCAACGCCGCGUGAGUGAUGAAGGUCUUCGGACCGUAAAACUCUGUUAUUAGGGAAGAACAAAUGUGUAAGUAACUAUGCACGUCUUGACGGUACCUAAUCAGAAAGCCACGGCUAACUACGUG